rnacentral:lncRNA from 1 species
GAGUAUCGAAAAACUGUUCGGGUGAGUACCGAAAAAUGGUCCAAUCAGUGUGAGUAUCGAAAAAUGGUCGAAUCCGUGCGAGUACCGGGAAAAGGUAGAAUUCGUGCGAGUAUCGAAAAACUGUUCGGGUGAGUACCGAAAAAUGGUCCAAUCAGUGUGAGUACCGAAAAAUGGUCGAAUCCGUACGAGUACCGGGAAAAGGUAGAAUCCGUGCGAGUAUCGAAAAACUGUUCGGGUGACUACCGGAAAAGGGUCCAAUCAAUGUGAGUACCGAAAAAUGGCCGAAUAUGUGCGUGUACCGGGAAAAGGUAGACUCCGUGCGAGUAUCGAAAAACUGUUCGGGUCAUUACCGGAAAAGGGUCCAAUCAAUGUGAGUACCAAAAAAUGGUCGAAUCCGUGCGAGUACCGGAAAAAUGUAGAAUCCCUACGAGUAUCGAAAAACUCUUCGGAUAAAUACCGGAAAAUGGUCCAAUCAGUGUUAGUACCGAAAAAUGGUAGAAUCCGGGCGAGUAUUUGUCAAAGGUAGAAUCCGUGCGAGUAUCGUAAGACUGUUCGGGUGAGUACCGAAAAAUGGUAGAAUCAGAGCGAUUACCGCGAAAAGGUAGAAUUCGUGCGAGUAUCGAAAAAUGAUAGUAUCCGGGCAAGUAUUGUGAAAAGGUAGAAUCCGUGCGAGUAUCGAAAAACUGUUCGGGUGAGUACCGAAAAAUGGUCCAAUCAGUGUGAGUACCGAAAAAUGGUCGAAUCCGUGCGAGUACCGGGAAAAGGUAGAUUCCGUGCGAGAAUCGAAAAACUGUUCGGGUGACUACCGGAAAUGGGUCCAAUCAAUGUGAGUACCGAAAAAUGGUAGAAUCCGGG